ACUGAAUGUGAGUUUGAGCCAUAGGUCUUGUGUACAUCCUACUUCACAAAUGAGUCUGUCAGAUACCCUAAGUCUGUAGGGAAGAUAAUGCCCCAACAUGCAGAGAAAUCUCAGGUGACUGUCCAGGAAGCUGGCUGUUUCUGUCAUAACGCAUUUUUUGGAUGUUACUUGUUUACACUUCCUGUUUUACUAGACUCAAAUCCUUGUGUUAAGUAAGCACACAUUUGCACGCAGAAGUAAAAUGUCUGUUAAUGGCUCAUGUAAAACUCCAUGGAUCAGCAGGAAAAGGAAACUGUCACAAAGCCUAACGGCUGAUGUUGGAUCCCAGGACCUAUAUGGCAGAAAAUAAACUGACAAUCAACUUUU